AAAAAUGAUUGGUUGACAUUAUGCAUGAGGAAUACAUUUUGCUUGGAAGCACGAUCCACUUUCAUUGCGUGGAAAAGAGCGGCUAAGACAUUCUUCUAAACUUCUCCUUUUGUGCAACAAGGGUCAGUGUCAUUGAUUGGAUAGACGCUGCAAAAGACAUGUUUACAUAAAAGCUCAAGCUCAUCCUCGUAUUGCCGACUGCACUAUCAACUUCCGACUAA